GACGAACGCUGGCGGCGUGCUUAACACAUGCAAGUCGAACGAAGUGGCGAACGGGUGUGUAAUACGUGGGUAACCUGCCCUCCUUUGUGGGAUAAGCCUUGGAACCGGGGUCUAAUACCGAAUAAAGGGGGAUGGGCUCGGGGCCUAUCAGCUUGUUGGUGGGGUGAUGGCCUACCAAGGCGGUGACGGGUAUCCGGCCUGAGAGGCUUACCGCCCCCAUUGGGACUUAGAUACUGCCCAGACUCCUACGGGUGGCAGCUGUUGCGGAUAUUGAACAAUGGGCGAAAGCCUGGGGCGGCGACGCCGCGUGGGGGUUGAAGGCUUUCUGGUUGUAAACCUCUUGCGCUAUCGAUCGGGUAGGUGGAGAAGAAGCACCGGCUAACUACGUGCCAGCAGCCGCGGUAAUAC
rnacentral:rRNA from 1 species